CUCGUAGGUGGUUUGUCGCGUUGUUCGUGAAAACUCACAGCUUAACUGUGGGCGUGCGGGCGAUACGGGCAGACUAGAGUACUGCAGGGGAGACUGGAAUUCCUGGUGUAGCGGUGGAAUGCGCAGAUAUCAGGAGGAACACCGGUGGCGAAGGCGGGUCUCUGGGCAGUAACUGACGCUGGGGAGCGAAAGCGUGGGGAGCGAACA
rnacentral:rRNA from 1 species